ensembl:snoRNA
GAUCCAUGAUGAAAAUAGCCUAAUCUGAGCAUCAGAAAAGACCCCUUAGUCUACCUGAUGCAUGAUCUCUAUAGUUCUGAGA